rnacentral:rRNA from 1 species
GACGAACGCUGGCGGCGUGCUUAACACAUGCAAGUCGAACGGAAAGGCCCUGCUUUGGUGGGGUGCUCGAGUGGCGAACGGGUGAGUAACACGUGAGUAACCUGCCCCUGACUUUGGGAUAACUUCAGGAAACUGGGGCUAAUACCGGAUAGGAGCUCCUGCUGCAUGGGGGGGGUUGGAAAGGUUCGGCGGUUGGGGAUGGGCUCGCGGCUUAUCAGCUUGUUGGUGGGGUAGUGGCUUACCAAGGCUUUGACGGGUAGCCGGCCUGAGAGGGUGACCGGCCACAUUGGGACUGAGAUACGGCCCAGACUCCUACGGGAGGCAGCAGUGGGGAAUAUUGCACAAUGGGCGGAAGCCUGAUGCAGCAACGCCGCGUGCGGGAUGACGGCCUUCGGGUUGUAAACCGCUUUCGCCUGUGACGAAGCGUGAGUGACGGUAAUGGGUAAAGAAGCGCCGGCUAACUACGUG